rnacentral:rRNA from 1 species
AUUGAACGCUGGCGGCAUGCUUUACACAUGCAAGUCGAACGGCAGCGCGGGCUUCGGCCUGGCGGCGAGUGGCGAACGGGUGAGUAAUGCAUCGGAACGUGCCCAGUAGUGGGGGAUAGCCCGGCGAAAGCCGGAUUAAUACCGCAUACGACCUGAGGGUGAAAGCGGGGGGCCGAAAGGCCUCGCGCUAUUGGAGCGGCCGAUGUCGGAUUAGCUAGUUGGUGGGGUAAAGGCUUACCAAGGCGACGAUCCGUAGCUGGUCUGAGAGGACGACCAGCCACACUGGGACUGAGACACGGCCCAGACUCCUACGGGAGGCAGCAGUGGGGAAUUUUGGACAAUGGGGGCAACCCUGAUCCAGCCAUGCCGCGUGCGGGAAGAAGGCCUUCGGGUUGUAAACCGCUUUUGUUCGGGAAGAAAUCCUCUGGGCUAAUACCCCGGGGGGAUGACGGUACCGGAAGAAUAAGCAUCGGCUAACUACGUG